rnacentral:rRNA from 3 species
ACGGGAGGCAGCAGUGGGGAAUAUUGCACAAUGGGGGAAACCCUGAUGCAGCAACGCCGCGUGAGCGAUGAAGGUCUUCGGAUUGUAAAGCUCUGUCCUUAGGGAAGAUAAUGACGGUACCUGAGGAGGAAGCCCCGGCUAACUACGUGCCAGCAGCCGCGGUAAUACGUAGGGGGCGAGCGUUAUCCGGAAUUAUUGGGCGUAAAGAGUGCGUAGGUGGUUACCUAAGCAGGGGGUGAAAGGCUAUGGCUUAACCAUAGUUAGCCCCCUGAACUGGGCUACUUGAGUGCAGGAGAGGAAAGCGGAAUUCCUAGUGUAGCGGUGAAAUGCGUAGAUAUUAGGAGGAACACCAGUGGCGAAGGCGGCUUUCUGGACUGUUACUGACACUGAGGCACGAAAGUGUGGGGAGCAAACAGGAUUAGAUACCCUGGUA